rnacentral:rRNA from 1 species
UUUGAAAUCUGGCCUCCGGGUCCGAGUUGUAAUUUGCAGAGGAUGCUUUUGGCGAGGUGCCUUCCGAGUUCCCUGGAACGGGACGCCAUAGAGGGUGAGAGCCCCGUCUGGUCGGACACCGAGCCUCUGUAAAGCUCCUUCGACGAGUSGAGUAGUUUGGGAAUGCUGCUCAAAAUGGGAGGUAUAUGUCUUCUAAAGCUAAAUAUUGGCCAGAGACCGAUAGCGCACAAGUAGAGUGAUCGAAAGAUGAAAAGCACUUUGAAAAGAGGGUUAAAAAGUACGUGAAAUUGUUGAAAGGGAAGCGCCUAUGACCAGACUUGGGCCCGGUGAAUCACCCAGCGUUCUCGCUGGUGCACUUUGCCGGGCACAGGCCAGCAUCAGUUURGCGCGGGGGACAAAGGUUUCGGGAAUGUGGCUCCCUCGGGAGUGUUAUAGCCCGUUGCGUAAUACCCUGCGCCGGACUGAGGUACGCGCAUUGCAAGGAUGCUGGCGUAAUGGUCAUCAGCGACCCGUCUUGAAACACGGACCAAGGAGUCGUCUUCGUAUGCGAGUGUUCGGGUGUCAAACCCCUACGCGUAAUGAAAGUGAACGUAGGUGAGAGCUUCGGCGCAUCACCGACCGAUCCUGAUGUUCUCGGAUGGAUUUGAGUAAGAGCAUACGGGGCCGGACCCGAAAGAAGGUGAACUAUGCCUGUAUAGGGUGAAGCCAGAGGAAACUCUGGUGGAGGCUCGCAGCGGUUCUGACGUGCGAAUCGAUCGUCAAAUAUGGGCAUGGGGGCGAAAGACUAAUCGAACCUUCUAGUAGCUGGUUUC